rnacentral:rRNA from 1 species
CUACGGGGUGCUGCAGUGGGGAAUAUUGGACAAUGGGCGCAAGCCUGAUCCAGCAAUACCGCGUGUGUGAAGAAGGCCUGCGGGUUGUAAAGCACUUUCAAUUGUGAAGAAAAGCGAGGGCUUAAUACGCUCUUGUCUUGACGUUAACUUUAGAAGAAGCACCGGCUAACUCUGUGCCAGCAGCGCGCGGUAAUACAGAGGGUGCGAGCGUUAAUCGGAAUUACUGGGCGUAAAGCGUACGUAGGCGGUUUAGUAAGUCAGAUGCGAAAGCCCUGGGCUCAACCUGGGAACUGCAUUUGAAGCUGCCAGACGAGAGGGGGGUCGGGGGAAGUGGACUGCCGGGUGUAGCGGUGAAAUGCGAAGAUAUCCGGAGGAACACCAGUGGCGAAGGCGACUGCCUGGACCAACACUGACGCUGGGGUACGAAAGCGUGGGUAGCAAACAGGAUUAGAUACCCCCGUAGUC